AAGCCCCCCUGCCGGCGCCCCGCCGCAUACAGCAGGCGCCUAAUCCGUGGCGAAGAAGAGCAGGGUCCGCACAGGCCCACGGAGCGGAUCGCCCCGCGGGGCGGGCGCGUGGCGGGGGUCAGGGGUCAGAGCCGGCCCUCUCACCUUCGGCCGGGAAUUCCUCGAACUCGUCGUCCUCCUCCAGGAGCCCCAGAUCCACCGGCUGCUUCUUUUCCGACAUGGUGGCCACCUCCGCUGCCGCCGCCGCCGCCACGGCCACUGCGCCUGCGCCGCGCGUUGCAGGCCGGGAGCGGAAGGCGGAGCUUCCUCGGGGACGCGGCGACACUGCGCAGGUGCAGAAGCUGAGGGAGUGGAAGAAAGGAGCUUUCUGCUCCCCUCCCCAGGAGGAGGGGCAGCCUCAGGCUUACAGCGUUCACGUUCCCAGCCAGCAAGCAGCCCAGAGACAGCCUGGGCAGUGAGAGGCAGUGACAGUGACAAGCUGCCUCCCUCCAGAACACAUGCAUACACAUGAGUGCGUCACAGAACUGUGGCCUCAAACUCAAGACACCCAUUGGGAGAAACAAUACACACACACAUCAAAUGUGCAGAAGCUUUGGGGACUCUGAAGAGAAGGAAACGGGCAAACCUGAACAUGUACAGGGGCCUGGAAGGAGUUGUCCAGGAGGAACUCGAGCCUGGGCCAUAGAAUACUGGCCUUGGCAACAGGAAGCAGGAACCAAAGACCAGGAGCCUGCUAAUUUCCAAAAAAAAAAAAAACGAAGACAGUUUCCACGUAAAAGCCCUUGACUUUUGUUUCUCAAACCCCAAUCCCAGCUCGGUGAUGUUGCCAUUAUUUUUUUAUUUUAGCUCCCAUCAGGAUGAUGAGCAAGAAGACCGUUCUAGAAGGAUCUAGGGCCCUGCCAUUUUUUAUCCCCAUUUAACUUUCACAAUUUGCAAAUGGACACAUAAAUCUGAGGACUUUGGUAGUUUUUCCCAUUGCCCAGCCUGCCCUGAGUACUUGGACUUCAUCUGUAUACCACUAAUAGAGCAACUCAACAAAAGGAAGCACCCGGAGGUAUUUCUUUAUUGCUUUAAUGCACCACUGAUACCUAUCUUAUCCCCUCAUUCUUUUUUAAAAUUAGACUUCCCUCUCCUCACUGUCUCCCCCCCCAAACAAAACGUGUGAAACGAAUUCAUGUAUUGGUCCUGUCCCCAAAUACGGCACUUAGCCCAUCGGGACUCUGAUUCCCACCUCUCCAGAGGUGGACUGUGCAUUUCACCCUGGACCUUUGGUCAUUGUUGGAGGAUACUGGGUUCUUAAAACCUUUGAGGUCACUUGUUUUCACACUGUUACUGUGGUGGUGCUGUGUUAUUCUCUUGGUUCUGACCACUUCCCUCUGCAUCAGUUCCGAGAGGUCUUCCAAAAUUUCUCUGAAAAUCAUCUCCCACAUCAUUUUUUAGAGCACAACGAUAUUCAAAUGAUCACGUUGCUAAAUUACAAUUUGUUCAGCUGUUCUCCACUGGAUGGCCAGCCCUUCGGUUUCCAAUUUUUUAAUAACAAAAAAUCCCUGCUAGUUUUAUUUUUAAAAUCUGUGACUCUAUGUCAAAUAAGCCAUCCUUACUCCAGUAGCGCUGGGAAAACUCAAGAUAUUUUAAUUGUUACAAUGAAAAUAGCAAUUGAUUAUCAUUGUGACUGUACAACAUUCAUUCUUUUCCCUGAAAAGUAUUAAAUGAUGGCAAAACAAAAUAUUUGACUACUUAUGUUACCUGAUUCCAACCUACCUGUAAUAACAGUGCCAGGAGAAUUCUUUUUUAAGCACUGAUCUCAAUCCAGUUUCAGAGUCUUUAAAAGACCCCAAUAUUCAUAACAGCACUCUUUGUGAUAACAAAGAAUUGGAAAUAAAGUAGGUACCCAUCAAUUGCAGAAUGGCUGAAGAGACUCUGGGAUAGGAAUGUAACAGAAUAUUCUCGUGUAGUAUUAAAUGGUGCAUGUGAGGAAUUUAAAAGAAAUAUGGGAAGAUUUUUAAGCUGAGCCAAGAGAACAAUAUACAUCGUGACUGACAACCACGUCAAUGGAAAGAUCUUGAAAAGGAAGUGAACUCUGAGCAAUGGAAAACCCAGGGAAGGGCCAGGAGAAGAGAGAAUUAAAUACGCCUCCUCCAUCGUGGUGGAGAGGUGGGCGACUUAGGACAGAAUGUUGUAUUUGUCAGACAAAGGGCUCCGCUGCCUCUAGCUGCUUAAUUGUUUUUCUUUGUCAGGAGGGACAGUUUAAUCUUAUGGGGAAUGAGCCACAUAAAAACAAAAGGCAUCUAUAAAAUAUAUUUUUAAAAAAUCCAAAGACUCUUCUGGGCUUCCUGCUCGGCGUUUCCUUUUUCAGAAUAUAACGCAGAUGUUUAAGUAAAACAAACUGUGUGGGCUUCUGGAAAUGCCCACCCUGAACAAUACGCUGUUCUUGGAUCGGAGACUGAUGUCUCCUGUAAUAACCCCGCAAAAUCCUGAUCGUUUGGCCUGUUUGCUUUUCCCGUUUUUCCUUGAACAUAUUCGAGUUUCUUCAACAUCUUCCGUUCACAUUUUCUGUCUUUGGAAGCUGCUGCUUUUCAGGCUCCUUCAAGAGUCUCUCUCCCUCAUUGAGCGAACAUUCUGAAUCCGGGAUUCAUUCUAGACUGUUGGAAGGACCUCAGUCUCACCAAAGAAACCCUGUUUAUCCCUUUUAUCCUCAUCAAUUACUUUGUAAAUAAAAAACUGCGAAAAAUGAUACUUGCCCAAUCUUCCCCUAGAAUCCCAAGGACCUUAUUACACAGUAAUGGGUGCUUUGUGAGCACAGUCUCCAGGAUGGAGAGGAAGGUUGUCCGAAUGCACAGAUAGGUCGAGGCCGGCCGAGCCGUUUGGCACCAGAGUGAUGUUCCAAACUCGGCAUUUGCAUGCCCAAGGCUUGUUUGAGAAGGCGAUUAUGGUCUUACAAGCAAAUCAUAAGAAUUUUUAAAAUUUUCUAAAUGCCGUAUUUAUAUGACAGACGAUAACUGCUCUGAAAGAAUCAUUAUGGUUUGGGAAAUGAUAUGCAAUUUCAAAAUCAUCUGAAAUCAUUUCAAUUGCCUGUAUUUACAUUUCUAUAAUGGAUAUUUAUAAUGGUGAUUAUUUUAGCGCUUACCUUGUUUUCAAGGAUAUAACACUGGUUUCUAUGGGAACAGGAACGGCAGUGAGGAGCAGAAUUUUAAGAACCCUUUGAAUUGCAGCGGCUGCAAACUGAGCUGCAGAGGCUGUUUGUUCUCCUUCCGUGUUUCUCUUAAUCUUUUAAAACAAAAGUGUGGAAUUAAAUCAUCGUAAAUCGUUUAAAAAUACAAAUGAAAUUAUUUUUAUAAAACAAUAUCUGACACACUUAAAUCAUCUGUGAACCGCUUGCUGCCCUGGAGCUAAUAAUCUGCUGACCUCGAUGAAUUCAUUGUAGAUUAUCAAUACUGGAAAUUCUCCAGCAUUUGGGAAAUUGUACCCAGAAAAACUUCAUAAAUUAAAUUCCCCAGUUCCCCUUUUUCCUGCUUUUAGGUGAUUAAAAAAGAAAGAAAGGAAGGAAGAAAAAAAAAAAGAAUCUGCAGCUCCACCAGUAAUUACUGAGAAGCCCUGUUAUUUUUUCCUCUAUUUAAUAUUUUCUUUAUACAGAAUUUUCCUAUUUAGAAAUCACUCUCUCCCGAUUUUUUUUUUUUUUAUCCUGGUGCUUUGUUGCAUUCUAACGGUAAGACCUAUAAUCCCAUGCAUGCUCUUAGACCCACUGGGCCUCUUUCUUUUACUGUGUUGUUAAUUUUUUUUUCUUAAAAUAGAUUUUAGACUAUAAAA
rnacentral:lncRNA from 1 species